rnacentral:lncRNA from 1 species
ACAGAGACGAGAAACAGUGACAGUGAAGCAAAGAAGAGGAGAAAUAGAGAGGGCAAAGCAAGAUUCCAUCGUUUCGACUAGAACCAUUACUUCAUCGACGAGUUUCAAAAAUUUAUCAUGCAGUGGAACACGCAUGAGUUACAUGUUGUUUUGAGUGGGAUUUCCAGGAAACCUGGAGGUUGAAAGGCAUGCCUAAGUGCUUAAUAUUAUUUGAAGUUUUAUAAGUAGUCCUGUGUUGUAGUUUGGUAAGCUUAUUCUUUGUUGAGUAUAAUAGCAAUUGACUAUGUGAUAAAAUCUGUUACGGCCCAUUUUUUUACUGCUGUAGGAGAAAUGGAGGUAACUUUUGAC